UACAGAGGUCCCAAGCGUUGUUCGGAUUCACUGGGCGUAAAGGGUGCGUAGGCGGUCGGGUAAGUCUGAUGUGAAAUCUCACAGCUUAACUGUGAAACUGCAUUGGAUACUAUCCGGCUAGAGGAGUGGAGGGGAGACUGGAAUACUUGGUGUAGCAGUGAAAUGCGUAGAUAUCAAGUGGAAUACCAGUGGCGAAGGCGAGUCUCUGGACAUUUCCUGACGCUGAGGCACGAAAGCCAGGGGAGCAAACGGG
rnacentral:rRNA from 1 species